rnacentral:lncRNA from 1 species
GGGGGAAAUGCUGUUGGCCCGUGUGCUCAGACCUAAGUACACGUUAAAGAAUAGCAGGUUGUCGAAUAUGCGGACGCCCGCCACUACGGCGUCUCUCAUAAUCAUAUCGG